rnacentral:rRNA from 1 species
AUUGAACGCUGGCGGCAUGCCUUACACAUGCAAGUCGAACGGCAGCACGGGAGCAAUCCUGGUGGCGAGUGGCGAACGGGUGAGUAAUAUAUCGGAACGUGCCCAGUCGUGGGGGAUAACGUAGCGAAAGCUACGCUAAUACCGCAUACGAUCUAUGGAUGAAAGCGGGGGAUCGCAAGACCUCGCGCGAUUGGAGCGGCCGAUAUCAGAUUAGGUAGUUGGUGAGGUAAAGGCUCGCCAAGCCGACGAUCUGUAGCUGGUCUGAGAGGACGACCAGCCACACUGGGACUGAGACACGGCCCAGACUCCUACGGGAGGCAGCAGUGGGGAAUUUUUGGACAAUGGCGCAAGCCUGAUCCAGCAAUGCCGCGUGCAGGAU